CCACCCUUCCUCUCCCCAUCCCUUCUUCCACUCUCUCCCUCCACUACUCUGCUGCAAUCCCUCCCUCCUCUUAAACAUCACAAAAUCCCCUCCUAUCCCAAUCCAGCCCUCUCUCCCUCCCUCUCCAUUUAUCUUUCCCUCCCUCUCUCUCUCCCCUUCAUCUCACCUCUAGCCACUCAGCGCUCUCUCUCCCUCUUCAGCAGCACUGCCCGCUCUCUUUCUCUUUCUACCUUUCUUUAUUUCUCUGUCUGUCUCUCUUUUUUUUCUCUCCUCCUUUCUUUGGCUCACAGAAGGUUCCCAGGCUCCUGGUCCGUCCGUCUGUCCCUCUGCCCGUCCGACGAUCCCACUGAAGCUCUAGCACCAACCGGGACACAGACUCUCACAAAGGCGACGUGGACCCACCCUACAUCUUAACACAACAGUGAUCCUCAUCCUACAUCGAUUCAGGGACUACUGACGCGAGGGGAACCAACAGGGUCAUGAACCCUCCUCAUUAUACAGCCUAUAAUGUAAACAGAAAUGUGUCUUCUCUAUGCCUCCAUCUCUCUGUGUAGGCAGAGAGAUAGCAGAAGAAAACACAAUGGACAGGCACAGAGAG
rnacentral:lncRNA from 1 species